CCUACGGGAGGCAGCAGUGAGGAAUAUUGGUCAAUGGCCGGAAGGCUGAACCAGCCAUGCAGCGUGAAGGAUGACGGCCCUACGGGUUGUAAACUUCGGUUAUAAAGGAAUAAAGUGAGGCACGUGUGCCUUUUUGUAUGUACCUUAUGAAUAAGGAUCGGCUAACUCCGUGCCAGCAGCCGCGGUAAUACGGAGGAUCCGAGCGUUAUCCGGAUUUAUUGGGUUUAAAGGGAGCGUAGGUGGGUUGUUAAGUCAGUUGUGAAAGUUUGCGGCUCAACCGUGAAAUUGCCAUUGAUACUGGCAGCCUUGAGUGCAGUUGAGGUAGGCGGAAUUCGUGGUGUAGCGGUGACAUGCUUAGAUAUCACGAAGAACUCCGAUUGCGAAGGCAGCUUACUAAACUGCCACUGACAUUGAUGCUCGAAAGUGUGGGUAUCAAACAGGAUUAGAUACCCGAGUAGUC
rnacentral:rRNA from 1 species